GGGCGAUUAGCUCAGGGGUAGAGCGCCUCCCUUACAAGGAGGAAGUCGCUGGUUCGAACCCAGCAUCGCCCA
rnacentral:tRNA from 1 species